rnacentral:rRNA from 1 species
GUCCACGCCCUAAACUAUGUCAACUGGUUGUCGGGGAAGCAAUUCCUUGGUAACGAAGCUAACGCGUGAAGUUGACCGCCUGGGGAGUACGGCCGCAAGGUUAAAACUCAAAGGAAUUGACGGGGACCCGCACAAGCGGUGGAUUAUGUGGAUUAAUUCGAUGCAACGCGAAAAACCUUACCUACCCUUGACAUGUACGGAAUCCCCCCAGAGAUGGGGGAGUGCCCGAAAGGGAACCGUAACACAGGUGCUGCAUGGCUGUCGU